AUCCGCUGAGGCCGCGCCGGGCGCCAAGGGCGCGGUACCUGGAGUCGAACUUCUGGCCGUCGGGGAACGUCCCCACGUAGUGGUAGCGCACGAAGUCGCCGCUGCGCACGGUGCGCGGGCACUCGUCGGGCACGAAGCGCCGCUCGAUCUGCAGCUCCGCGUCGGAGCCCAGGCCCGCCACGGGCGCUGCCUGCCCGGUCACCCAGAGCAGCAGCAGGAGCAGCGGUGGCGGCGGGGGCCUCCAGCCCCGGAACGCCAUCGGGGCGGCGAGAAGAGUGGCGCGGACGCAGCGCGGCGCUCGGGCGGCACGGGUCGGCCUGGGCGUUCGGCUGCGUUUGCAAACGUGGACCGGGUCUCCUGGCCCUACCCGGGCUGCAGCCGCCACCCCGUCUCCCCGGCCGCCCGCCCUCCCGGCCGCAGCUCCAGGGGAGGAGCCCAGCCUGGCCGCGCGCCGAGGGCGGGCCUGCUGCGCCCUGCCCCGCCCGGCAUUGGGAAUGUGCGUGCCGCAGCGGGGAGGGGGGCUGGGAACUCCAGUGGGGACCAAGUCUGGGCCUAGAGAGGGCGUGUCCCCGAGCGAGACACUGUGAUCUCCGGACAAGGCUUUGGCCCAAAGUCGGAAGAGAAAAGCGCGUACUGCCCAAGCCCACCCGCUGGUCUCCGCCCGUCCCUGGAGACACCGGGUUUGGUGCCGUGAGGGGCUCCUACGUGGCCGUGGAUCCAAUUUUCCCUUGCUGCUUUGGAGAGGGAGGGAAAAUUAGAUUUUAAUUUUUUAAGCUUAGUUACAAGGGUAUGGUCUACCUUGAAAGAGACCGAAACCAUCCUUCAGGACUUUUUUUUUUUUUUUUUAAUACUGCUUAAAGGAAAAGGAAGGCCGGGCGCCGUGGCUCACGCCUGUAAUCCCAACGCUUUGGGAGGCCAAGGCAGGCGGAUCACGAGGUCAGGAGAUGGAGACCAUCCUGGCCAACAUGAUGAAACCCCGUCUCUACUAAAAAUACAAAAAAAUUAGCCAGGCUUGGUGGCGCGUGCCUGUAGUCCCAGCUACUCGGGAGGCUGAGGUAGGAGAAUCGCUGGAACCCGGGAGGCGGAGGUUGCAGCGAGCCGAGAUCGCGCCACUGCACACCAGCCCUGGCGACAGUACGAGACACUGUCUCCAAAAAAAGAAAAGGGAGGCAUGUAUUGCGAGAGGCUCCCGUGACACUUGUCUAGGCAAAAGUUUUAAGGCACCGUGAGGGUCCUCCAAGCCAUCAGCGGCCGCACUGUGAGCUGAUACUUGCAGACAUCCUACAAGCUCCCAUAUACGAGCCUAUGCCAGGGAGGACUUCAUCAUAGAGACCCAGAAGCCACAGGAAUCCAUUAGAGUAAUCAGAUGCACUUGGAAUUGGAAUUGGGUGUUAUAAUUUAUUAAAAUUUUGGAAUAAUGAAAGCAAAUCACCAACUCUUUCUCAACUCGUUUUGGAAGCAAACACAAUUCUGAUACCAAAACCUGGCAAAGAGAGCAACAAAAAAGAAAAAUAAAACUGAAAAAACAGGGCACGAUCUAAUUUAUAAAUAUAAAUGCAAAAAUACUGAAUAAAACGUAAUAAAAUCGGAUUCAACCGCAUAUUAGGCCAGGCGCAGUGGCUCACACCUGUAACCCUAGCACUUUGGGAGGCCGAGGUGGUUGGAUCACCUGAAGUCAGGAGUUCAAGACCAGCCUGUCCAACAUGGUGAAACCCUGGCUCUACUAAAAAUACAAAAAUUAGCAGGGUGUGGUGGCACGGCCUGUAGUCCCAGCUACUUGGGAGGCUGAGGCAGAAAAAUUGCUGGAACCUGGGAGUCGAAGGUUGCAAUGAGCCGAGAUUGUGCCACUAAAUUGCACCACUGCACUCCAGCC
rnacentral:lncRNA from 1 species